rnacentral:rRNA from 1 species
UACGGAGGAUCCAAGCGUUAUCCGGAUUUAUUGGGUUUAAAGGGUGCGUAGGCGGCAGAUUAAGUUAGAGGUGAAAUUCCGAGGCUCAACCUUGGCACUGCCUCUGAUACUGGUUUGCUAGCGAGUAGAUGCUGUAGGCGGAAUGUGUGGUGUAGCGGUGAAAUGCAUAGAGAUCACACAGAACACCGAUUGCGAAGGCAGCUUACCGGCGCCCAACUGACGCUGAAGCACGAAAGCGUGGGUAUCGAACAGG